GACGAACGCUGGCGGCGUGCCUAACACUUGCAAGUCGAGCGAAGUGAGUACUACGGUACGAACUUAGCGGCGGACGGGUGAGUAACGCGUGGACAAUCUACCCUGUAGACUGGGAUAACACCUCGAAAGGGGUGCUAAUACCGGCUAAUGUCGAGAAGCGGCAUCGCUUUUCGAAGUAAGGAGAGAAUCCGCUAUAGGAGGAGUCCGCGUCCCAUUAGUUAGUUGGUGAGGGUAACGGCCCACCAAGGCGACGAUGGGUAGCCGGCCUGAGAGGGGGAACGGCCACACUGGAACUGGGACACGGUCCAGAGUCCUACGGGAGGGAGCAGUGGGGAAUAUUGUGCAAUGGGGGAAACCCGGAAACAGCAGCGCCGCGUGAGCGAAGAAGGCCUUCGGGUUGUAAAGCUCAAUAGUAUGGGAAGAGAACGACGGUACCAUACGAAAGCCCCGGCUAACUACGUGCCAGCCGCCGCCGUAACAC
rnacentral:rRNA from 1 species